UACGAAGGGGGCUAGCGUUGUUCGGAAUCACUGGGCGUAAAGGGCGCGUAGGCGGCUGUUCAAGUCGGGGGUGAAAUCCCGUGGCUCAACCACGGAAUGGCCUUCGAUACUGGACGGCUAGAGACCGGAAGAGGUGAGUGGAACUGCGAGUGUAGAGGUGAAAUUCGUAGAUAUUCGCAAGAACACCAGUGGCGAAGGCGGCUCACUGGUCCGGUUCUGACGCUGAGGCGCGAAAGCGUGGGGAGCAAACGGG
rnacentral:rRNA from 1 species